GGAAGCGUGCGAGAGUGGUUGAAUCGGAUGGUUUCGAAAACCAUUAUACCCGCAAGGGUAUCGGAGGUUCGAAUCCUCCCGCUUCCG
rnacentral:tRNA from 1 species